rnacentral:rRNA from 1 species
UACCUGGUUGAUCCUGCCAGUAGUCAUAUGCUUGUCUUAAAGAUUAAGCCAUGCAUGUCUAAGUAUAAGCAUUUAUACCGCGAGACUGCGAACGGCUCAUUAAAACAGUUAUGGUUUAUUUGAUGGUUCCUUUGCUACUUGGAUAACCGUAGUAAUUCUAGAGCUAAUACAUGCACGAAGGGGCGACUUACGAAGCCCUGUAUUUAUUAGAUUAAAGCCAACCACCUCCGGGUGUUCGUGGUGAAUCAUAGUAACUUCUCGGAUCGCCGGCCCUGCGCCAGCGACGUGUCACUCAAAUUUCUGCCCUAUCAGCUUUAGAUGGUAGGAUAUGGGCCUACCAUGGCGGUGACGGGUAACGGAGAAUUAGGGUUCGAUUCCGGAGAGGGAGCCUGAGAAACGGCUACCACUUCUAAGGAAGGCAGCAGGCGCGCAAAUUACCCAAUCCUGACUCAGGGAGGUAGUGACAAGAAAUAACAAUAAACCGGCUUAUGCCGGUUUAAUUGGAAUGAGUACAAUUUAAACAUCUUAACGAGGAACAAUUGGAGGGCAAGUCUGGUGCCAGCAGCCGCGGUAAUUCCAGCUCCAAUAGC